UUGCCAUAACCGGUCUUUAGAAAUGUCUUUGAAAACCAGUUUUACUUGGUUUUAUUUGGGGGUUCCUAACAAUUAUCUGUUAAUAUUUUGUGAUAGCAAGCUUAUUUGUGUGUAUCUUUAAUACCGGUCAUGCAAAUAAUUUUCAGAAGAAGAAGAAAAAAAGACUGCUUUAGCCGUAUUUUGCAUGGAUUGAUUGCACAUCUAUACUGCUACUUAGUUUAACAGAUGUCUAAAAAAAAAAAAGGUUAAACCUGUUAUAACAGGUUUCCCUUUGGCUGUAACAGAUAAAACCUGUUACACUCAUUGAUAUGUUUUUUUUUUUUUUUGUAAGUUGUCCAUCUUUCCUUACUUUUUAGAUACUCUCAAAAAAUGCUAUUUUAUGUUUGUAUUAACAUUUAUUAAUAACCCCCAGCAUGCAACUGCUGUGUGCACAUUCUACCUGACCACAAAUGACAUGAUUGGUGCCACAUACGUUCUAGCAUGUUAUGACAGCAUAGCAGUAGUAAAGCCCAAUAUGUAUAGGUUAAAGAAACACUUCAACCAACAUAAUGCGCCAGUUGUGUCCUGUUGAUCUGUCAGAGUAUGUUGUCAAACAGUUUAGAAAUGGUUUGACAAUUUACACUUGCACUGCUCACAACCUCUAGGAUAGGUAGAAGCUCCUAGCUGAACUAGUAGAACACGUAACAUGUGAAAGUCAUUGUUAAAUCUCAAUAUACAAGUAAAAUAAGGUAAACACAACAGUUAAAAGCAAAACUUGGCUAAAACUGGUGAUGAAAAGAUUCGCAACGCUCCUUAAUUAAAAGUUAUUUGAAGACCAUGUUCCAUGGCUGCUAUUUAUUCCAAAAAUGGUCCCUAUAAAUCAGCUGGUCAAAACUGGCAUGUUGGGGGGGGUUCGGAUGUGGACAUGUCCUAGUACAGCUUCAUAUGGCUCCACAAACAUAGUGAGUCACCCCAAAAUGUCCACAGCCUCUCAAGCUUCAGGAAAAUCUGGUGCUCUCACCAAAUAUUUCCGCAACAAUGUGGACCAGCAAUCGAGCCUGGUAGGUCCCAGUAUGGCACUGGACUCACCAAGCAGCAGCUCGCUGCCUUCUAGUCCAGACACAGAACUGCGAGCCAUACUCCAUAACUUACCCUCAAAGCAGGACAUUGCUAGCAUGCUUGGGCGGUUGGAAUUGUCUAGUACCGCCAUACGCCACAUAGAGAUAGGGCAAGCUCCCUC